GUACUUUAUGAAUAAGGAUCGGCUAACUCCGUGCCAGCAGCCGCGGUAAUACGGAGGAUCCGAGCGUUAUCCGGAUUUAUUGGGUUUAAAGGGAGCGUAGAUGGAUGUUUAAGUCAGUUGUGAAAGUUUGCGGCUCAACCGUAAAAUUGCAGUUGAUACUGGAUAUCUUGAGUGCAGUUGAGGCAGGCGGAAUUCGUGGUGUAGCGGUGAAAUGCUUAGAUAUCACGAAGAACUCCGAUUGCGAAGGCAGCCUGCUAAGCUGCAACUGACAUUGAGGCUCGAAAGUGUGGGUAUCAAGCAGGAUUAGAUACCCUGGUAGUCCACACGGUAAACGAAGAAGACUCGCUGUUUGCGAUAUACUGCAAGCGGCCA
rnacentral:rRNA from 1 species